CAUUUAGUAGCUCAGUCUCAGAGCGCCGGCCUUGUAAGUCGGAUGCCGGAAGUUAAAAUCUCCCCUAUUGCU
rnacentral:tRNA from 1 species